UGGGGAAUUUUGGACAAUGGGGGAAACCCUGAUCCAGCCAUCCCGCGUGUGCGAUGAAGGCCUUCGGGUUGUAAAGCACUUUUGGCAGGAAAGAAACGUCAUGGGUUAAUACCCCGUGAAACUGACGGUACCUGCAGAAUAAGCACCGGCUAACUACGUGCCAGCAGCCGCGGUAAUACGUAGGGUGCAAGCGUUAAUCGGAAUUACUGGGCGUAAAGCGUGCGCAGGCGGUUCGGAAAGAAAGAUGUGAAAUCCCAGAGCUCAACUUUGGAACUGCAUUUUUAACAACCGGGCUAGAGUGUGUCAGAGGGAGGUGGAAUUCCGCGGGUAGCAGUGAAAUGCGUAGAUAUGCGGAGGAACACCGAUGGCGAAGGCAGCCUCCUGGGAUAACACUGACGCUCAUGCACGAAAGCGUGGGGAGCAAACAGG
rnacentral:rRNA from 1 species